GCUGGGGAGCAGAGAGUGUCAUGAGGCGCCUGCUCACCAGGACCUUGGUCUGACCUGAGGUUGGACCGCCACCUGCACGCGCCCAUGCAGACAGGUGGCUGCACAUACCUUGUAGCCCUCGGCUUCUAGCUCCCGGAGCUUACGCGGAAUCUCUGGGUACAAGAUCCUAGGGCAGUCACUGGGGCCAGUGGGAAAGACCUUCCCAGAGCGUGUGGUGAUGAGGGUCCCGUCCAGAUCAAAGCCAGCCACCUGGUGUCACCAAGGAAAGAGGAACAGCAGCACUGUGAUACCUCUGAUCCUCUCCACUCACAGGCUGACUCACACCAACCCUGCCAUCUCACAGAUGGGGAAACCGAGUCACAGAACACCUCCAUGUCAAGCAUCCAUGAAGCCUCUGAGUGCGGCCCGACAUCUUAACCUUACUGUCUCCUGUUAACUCCUUAUGACCCCGGCCCCAGGAUUACAGUCUUUAAAAUGGGGGUUAAUGUCUUACCCAGCCUCCUUCCUCCCCUGGCCUUCUCCACCUUGGUGGGCUGCUAAUCGUGAAAAUAAAAACAGGAGCAAAGCUUUGGGUGCUAACUGCA